rnacentral:rRNA from 1 species
AUUGAACGCUGGCGGCAUGCUUUACACAUGCAAGUCGAACGGCAGCACGGACUUCGGUCUGGUGGCGAGUGGCGAACGGGUGAGUAAUACAUCGGAACGUACCCAGAAAUGGGGGAUAACUAUCCGAAAGGAUAGCUAAUACCGCAUACGCCCUACGGGGGAAAGAGGGGGAUCGCAAGACCUCUUGUUAUUGGAGCGGCCGAUGGCUGAUUAGCUAGUUGGUGGGGUAAAGGCCUACCAAGGCAACGAUCAGUAGCGGGUCUUAGAGGACGAUCCGCCACACUGGAACUGAGACACGGUCCAGACUCCUACGGGAGGCAGCAGUGGGGAAUCUUGGACAAUGGGCGCAAGCCUGAUCCAACAAUGCCGCGUGCGUGAAGAAGGCCUUCGGGUUGUAAAGCGCUUUUGUCAGGGAGCAAAUCCUUGUGGCUAAUACCCACCGGGGAUGAGAGUACCUGAAGAAUAAGGACCGGCUAACUACGUGCCAGCCGCCGCCGUAA